GACGAACGCUGGCGGCGUGCCUAAUACAUGCAAGUCGAACGCAGUGGGGACGGGUGAUUAACACGUGGGUAACCUCCCAUCAGAGGGGAUAACACUUGGAAACAGGUUCUAAUCCGAUACUGAUGGAUGGACCCGCGGUGCAUUAGCUAGUGGGUGGGGAAACGGCUCACCAAGGCCACGAUGCAUAGCCGACCAGAGAGGGUGAUAGGACACACGGGGACUGAGACACGGCCCAGACUCCGACGGGAGGCAGCAGUAGGGAAGAGUCGACAAUGGACGAAAGUCUGACCGAGCAACGCCGCGUGAGUGAAGAAGGUUUUCGGAUCGUAAAACUCUGUUGUUAGAGAAGCGGUAUCUAACCAGAAAGCCACGGCAAACUACGUGCCAGCCGCCGCGGUAAUUC
rnacentral:rRNA from 1 species